rnacentral:lncRNA from 1 species
CCAAAUAAUCCAAUGUCACGUGUGAUAAAGUACAACAAAACCAAAUGUGCCCACAUGCCAAAUAAUCCAAUGCCACGUAUGAAUACAAUAACCAGGGAAGGGUACUUAGCAUGGUGCAGUCACAUAUUCACAUCACAAUCCAUAAACUACCCAACUCAUAUUAAUCUCAUGCCUAUUUAUUUAAUCAAAAAGUGAAUAGCAAUUUC